rnacentral:rRNA from 1 species
GUAGGUGGCGAGCGUUGUCCGGAAUUAUUGGGCGUAAAGAGCAUGUAGGCGGUUUUUUAAGUCUGGAGUGAAAAUGCGGGGCUCAACCCCGUAUGGCUCUGGAUACUGGAAGACUUGAGUGCAGGAGAGGAAAGGGGAAUUCCCAGUGUAGCGGUGAAAUGCGUAGAUAUUGGGAGGAACACCAGUGGCGAAGGCGCCUUUCUGGACUGUGUCUGACGCUGAGAUGCGAAAGCCAGGGUAGCGAACGGGAUUAGAUACCCCGGUAGUCCUGGCCGUAAACGAUGGGUACUAGGUGUAGGAGGUAUCGACCCCUUCUGUGCCGGAGUUAACGCAAUAAGUACCCCGCCUGGGGAGUACGUCCGCAAGGAUGAAACUCAA